GACGAACGCUGGCGGCGUGCCUAACACAUGCAAGUCAACUUGACUGAAGGAGCAAUCUGACAGUAGAGUGGCGCAAGGGUGCGUAACGCGUAAGUAACUUGCCCCAAGGUAAGGAAUAACGUCGAGAAAUCGGCGCUAAUACCUCAUAAUGCAGCGGAUCCGCAUGGAUAUGUUGUUAAAGGUUUACCGCCUUGGGAUAGGCUUGCGUCUGAUUAGCUAGUUGGUGUGGUAACGGCACACCAAGGCUACGAUCAGUAACUGGUCUGAGAGGAUGAUCAGUCACACUGGAACUGAGACACGGUCCAGACUCCUACGGGAGCAGCAGUGAGGAUAUUGGGCAAUGCUCGAAGAGUGACCCAGCAACGCCGCGUGGAGGAUGAAGGUAUUCUAUAUCGUAAACUCCUGUGAGAGCAGACGAAAGACAGAUUAUAAUCUGGAUGACUGUAUGCUCAGAGGAAG
rnacentral:rRNA from 1 species